GUUCGGUGUGGUGGCGCACGCCUAUAACCCCAGCAGCUCGGGAGGCUGAGGCAGGAGGAUUGCAAGUUCAAAGCCAGCCUCUGUAAAAAGCGAGGCACUAAGCAAUACAGUGAGAUCCUGUCUCUA
rnacentral:sRNA from 1 species